rnacentral:rRNA from 1 species
GACGAACGCUGGCGGCGUGCCUAAUACAUGCAAGUUGAGCGCUGAAGGUUGGUACUUGUACCAACUGGAUGAGCAGCGAACGGGUGAGUAACGCGUGGGGAAUCUGCCUUUGAGCGGGGGACAACAUUUGGAAACGAAUGCUAAUACCGCAUAAAAACUUUAAACACAAGUUUUAAGUUUGAAAGAUGCAAUUGCAUCACUCAAAGAUGAUCCCGCGUUGUAUUAGCUAGUUGGUGAGGUAAAGGCUCACCAAGGCGAUGAUACAUAGCCGACCUGAGAGGGUGAUCGGCCACAGUGGGACUGAGACACGGCCCAAACCCCUACGGGAGGCAGCAGUAGGGAAUCUUCGGCAAUGGACGAAAGUCUGACCGAGCAACGCCGCGUGAGGGAAGAAGGGUUUCGGAUCGUAAAAAUCUGUUGGUAGAGAAGAACGUUGGUGAGAGUGGAAAGCUCAUCAAGUGACGGUAACUACCCAGAAAGGGACGGCUAACUACGUG